UACGGGGGGGGCAAGCGUUGUUCGGAAUUACUGGGCGUAAAGGGCUCGUAGGCGGCCAACUAAGUCGGACGUGAAAUCCCUCGGCUUAACCGGGGAACUGCGUCCGAUACUGGAUGGCUUGAGUUUGGGAGAGGGAUGCGGAAUUCCAGGUGUAGCGGUGAAAUGCGUAGAUAUCUGGAGGAACACCAGUGGCGGAAGGCGACUUCCUGGCCUGUUCUUGACGCUG
rnacentral:rRNA from 1 species